CGAAAGCCUGUCUCAGUUCGGAUUGGAGGCUGAAACCCGCCUCCAUGAAGUUGGAUUCGCUAGUAAUCGCGCAUCAGCCAUGGCGCGGUGAAUACGUUCCCGGGCCUUGUACACACCGCCCGUCAAGCCAUGGGAGCCGGGGGGUGCCUGAAGUUCGUGACCGCAAGGAGCGACCUAGGGCAAAACUGGUGACUGGGGCUAAGUCGUAACAAGGUAGC
rnacentral:rRNA from 1 species